UGACACUUGUGGCAGCUGACAGUAAGUCGGUUCAACUGGUAGAAGCAAGCAUAGAAAUGCCUCUGCUCAAUCCAACCCUGCGCCCCCAGCUUGGAGUAAGUGGGGGUUGGAUUGCAGCCUAACUUGUGGCCUCCAGAUAUUUCUACACUGCAACUCCCAUCGUUCCCUAACCAGCAAGGCCAAUGGUCAGGUAUGAUGGGAGUUGUAGUCCAACAUUCUAGGAAAUCAGUUUCCCCAAUCCCGAAUUAACAAAUAGUAUGUUUGCAGCCAUGUGAGGAUAAGCAGUUUGUAGACUGCAGCCUAGAUACAUUUAAUUUAACUAAAAUGACAGGGUGGAUAACAGAAAUACUCCAUUAGAAUGUGGAGAGUGGAAGGUGCAUCAUCAGAUGAAAGAGGAGGAGCUGGUUACAAAACAUUUAAAUUCUUAACAACUUUUUAAGUUUUACUGUGUGUAUCACUGUCACUAGGUGCCCUACAAAAACUGACGUAUGAGCCUGUGGUCAAUUUACAAGAGACCAUCAAGAAACUGUUAUGUCAAGAACAAUGAUGGGAUCAACAGAAAGUUAACACUGGAACAGAACAAGCCAAUUGUGGAUGGUGGAUGAACAUUCCUGGCAUUUGCAGCAGAGAGAUAAAAAGAAUAAAAUAAAUAGUGCAUGAGAAAUGAAAUUUAAGAAGAAAAGUAAUAUUUCAAUAGACCAAGAAGGAAUACGCAGAGAUGAGAGGUGUCUAAGAUCAUGGAGACACUUAAACAUAAAUAAAAGAAAUUUAAUUUUGUAAAGAAGAGAGAGACAAUGCAAGCAAAGGAGAAAGAAGGUCCAAAUGAGAAAAAGAAGUAGUAACCUGAAGAACUCAAGAUAGGCAUUAAUGGCUGCACCAAAGAAAUUGGGAAACCAAAUAAAACCCCAGUAAUCAUAAAUAUACUAAAUACAUUUUUAGGGAUUCAACAUAGUUGUAAUAUUGUUAAGGAAGUAUUGUUUCAUUUUUACUAUUAUUAUGCAGUGCAGUCAGUAUACAUAGCAGUUUAAAGAGUAACAACAAGAAAGGAUCCUGGUUCAGGGACUUACAACGUAAAAUUAAACAGUAGGAGCAACAGGAUAAAUAGUGAAGUCAAGAAAGAACAGAAACGAUAAAAGUGAAUGAGUGAAGAGAUUACUAAAGCAAGGCAUGACCUACAAGAUCAAAUCCACAAGAUCCAGGAAUAAGAAAGGGGGGGGUAGUGUAAGAUGCUGUGGAUUUACAUGCAGGACAGUUACUGUAAAAUGAGGACAGAAAGCAAACUAAAAAAUGAUCAAAAGUUAGAAUUUACAUUACUGUAGAAUGAACAACCUCAGGCAGCUUUGAAAGGAAUUUAAGAGAAAUAGAAAGAUGGGAUCCAAACACUAUUUCUUAAAAGAGAAGAAAUGAUAGCUGCUUAAGGACCAAUCUAAAAGAUUAAAAAGAUGGUUUAAGAGGAAUAAACAUGAGGAGAUAUAUUUAUUUUAUGUAUUUAUAGGCUGCCUUUCAAAAUUGCCUCUUGAGGCGUCCCAACAUGUUAAAAACAAUCUAUGAUGUUGAGUAAGAAACCAAGGCCGGAGAGGGUGAAGAGGAUGGGUUGUGAAUUCAGGAGAACUGAGAACACAAAGUAGGUUGAAA